UGCGCUUCACCCUCAGAGGUGCAAACUCAAGUCGGUGCGGUGGAUUAUAUUUUAUCCGAGUAGACAUUGAUUUUAAAUAAAUCUCAACGAGAGAUGUUCGUGGAAAGUCCGUUUGAAAUGAAAGUAAAGACUUACGGUUUCUAAUGACUUCGACCUUUUUUCACAUUCUUCAUUCCUCAGAUUCAAAUGCCACUUUUCUCCUCUUCUCUCUCUGUGGCUCUUAGUUUGGGGGUCAUAAUCUUUCUCUCCAUGAACUAACCUAUCCCUCACUCCCCUCACUGGUUCUUCUUCUUUCUUUUUUCUAUUUCCUGUUUCCCUCUUCUUCUCUCCUGUCAUGUCUGUAUCCAUGAGGAAUCAAGUCCAGCGCCGGCGCUCCCUGGGUCCAGUUUCUCCCAAACGCAUCUACAGAAACCUGUCCGUCAGACUGAGGGGCGGAGAGUCAUCUGUUUCCAGGGAAUUGGACACAACCAAACACUUCAGCAAGUCUGCAGAUUCUUACAAGACCUUGUGGGAAGCAGUGGAAAAUGAGGAUACUUUGGCCGUACAAAGCCUGCUGUCCAGAGACCACAACCAUGCUGCAGGAGGAG